rnacentral:rRNA from 1 species
AGACCCGAAACCCGGUGAUCUAGCCAUGGGCAGGUUGAAGGUUGGGUAACACUAACUGGAGGACCGAACCGACUAAUGUUGAAAAAUUAGCGGAUGACCUGUGGCUGGGGGUGAAAGGCCAAUCAAACCGGGAGAUAGCUGGUUCUCCCCGAAAGCUAUUUAGGUAGCGCCUCGUGAAUUCAUCUCCGGGGGUAGAGCACUGUUUCGGCUAGGGGGCCAUCCCGGCUUACCAACCCGAUGCAAACUGCGAAUACCGGAGAAUGUUAUCACGGGAGACACACGGCGGGUGCUAACGUCCGUCGUGAAGAGGGAAACAACCCAGACCGCCAGCUAAGGUCCCAAAGUCAUGGUUAAGUGGGAAACGAUGUGGGAAGGCCCAGACAGCCAGGAUGUUGGCUUAGAAGCAGCCAUCAUUUAAAGAAAGCGUAAUAGCUCACUGGUCGAGUCGGCCUGCGCGGAAGAUGUAACGGGGCUAAACCAUGCACCGAAGCUGCGGCAGCGACACUCAGGUGUUGUUGGGUAGGGGAGCGUUCUGUAAGCCUGCGAAGGUGGCCUGUGAGGGUUGCUGGAGGUAUCAGAAGUGCGAAUGCUGACAUAAGUAACGAUAAAG